ACCUGCAAGGUGUGCCGGGUUGCUCACUGACGUCCUGGCAAAGCUUCACCAGAACCGGAAGUCCCGCCCAGCCACGACGUCACAACAUCGCGCCGCGCCCAUUCAGGAAGUCGGUCCCCCUUGAAUGCUUUGCUUGAAAGUUGACUCUCAGUUUACCUCAGCGUUAGUAUUCCGCGUCACAUACUCUGCACUUUGGGACGAUGCGACUGUCCCAGAGGUACAUUCAGCUUACUGCAAACUCCAAGAUCGAAUCCUCGGCACUUGGUACAUUGUAGGCGAUCAGUGUAUUUCUGUCCUAAAAAGUACUGUAGCUGAUAUGGCAUUCUUAUAUCCAGAAGCAGCAGCAUGGAACUUCGAAAAAUCACAGUAAUUAUCACCCAUACAAAGAAACGAAGCUUUGCUCUUGUAUUCAAGUACCUCAGUGAUGGUGCGACCAGCCAGCCAGCUGUGGAAUGUAAACCGCUAAACUUCUUCAUUACUCUUCCUUGUCAGUUCUACUUUCCGUAUCCAAUAGGUAACAUUUAAUGACUAUAGAAAAAGCCAUUCACUGUGCUAACUUUUUCAUGAACUAUUUUUAAAUUCUCAUGGCAGUUCAGUGACAUCGGCAUUGAAAGUGAUCAUUGAAGUCUGGAGACAUAAAAACAUAGAAUAAGUGAUUAUGUUACAGUGACAUUAUGUGAUAUGUUCAAGGUGGUGUCCCUCAUGCACAGUUUUAUGUAUGUAAAUUUCCCACCACUAAUGCUAUAAAACUAUAUUUGUAUAUGCCACAAUUGACCUACCUCUCCAACAACAGUAUACAUCCCAAUGUCAAUGCAAAAUGGAAGUGGAAUCUUAAAAACAACUGGAAGCCGAGGUACAGGACUCUCUCCAUCUCUUGGCUUCAAAUCUCUCUAGGUAUCUGUUCCAUCCUUCUUUCAUCCACAGGCUGUGUGACAGAAUGCAUUAACACAGUAAUGUAACAUCUCUUUUAAUUCUUGCACACGCGUCUGUAAUGCAUUACCUCAGGUGAUUUAUGUUUCUGAUUUCACUGAACCUGUGCCAGAAAUAACUAAAGGUUCAGUCUUUAAGUAACAACAAUCUUUCCAGACCUUAUAGAUACUCAGGGCUAUUUCCUUUCACCCCACAGUGUAAAAUGAGGUGUAGAGAAACUAAGUAACUUCUCAAAGUCAGUUGGGAGACCUAGGCUCAGGUUGCUGGCAGCAACUUCUCAACUGUUCCUUAUGUCUUCGCUGGACCUUCUGCUUUGGGGAUAUACAUGCUUUCACUAAUUAAGUUGUCAUAUUUUUGCACACAGUGUUCUCUUUGCUACACGACAGACUAUAACUGAUGUGAUUCAUUUAAGUAGCUGAGUGUUCUCUGAAGCCUGCAGAAUUCAUUUGGCAUGUGUCAAGAUUGUUCAGAAGAGGAGCAUCUGAGAGGUGAUUUGACCAUUGAUAAUGCCAUGUCUGAAUGGACUGUUAGAAAUUGAGGGCUGGUUGAGGGAGGCAGAUCAUUGAAGGAAUGUGUCUUUGAUGGAUGUCUUCUGUUAUCUCUGUGUCCUUCCUGCACAGCUUUGCAAUCCCACACACUCCCCACCGUGGUGCUGUACCUCACCACAAGCAGAAGCAGUGGACUGAAAUCUCCCAAUCUGUAACCCUUAAUAAGUUUUUUGUUUGUUUGUUUGUUUGUUUUUUUGAGGCAGGGUCUCUCUCUAUAGCAUUGGCUGUACAGGGAUUCACUAUGCACACCAAGCUGGCCCUGAACUCAGAGGUCUGCCUGCCUCUGCCUCUCACGUGCUGGGAUUUAAGGCGUGCACCACCAUGUCCAGGAGAAAUAAGUAUUUCAUUCUUUAAAUUUAUUUUGGAUAUUUUGGCACAGUGAUUAAAAGUGACUGACACAAUGUGUGUACCUCUUUCUUUUUUGUAUUCCUUUCUCUUUUUUAAAACAUCAGUUUCCACUCCCCAUUAAAAUGAGAUUUCCCUGUAAAUAGUCCUUUUACAAUUUUUUUUGUCCCCUCCCCCUCCUUUUACAAUUUUAAGUAGUGUUAAAAUCCAUGUGCAUUAUUCUUUUAUUUGAAGGUCUGGAAAAUUUUGAAAUAAAGCCACCCCUUUUGUAUUAUAUUUAUUAGUACUUCUUAAAUUUUAGUGUAAGUAAGAAUCCCCUGGUUUGUUAACACACUUUGUACCUCAUAGAAAUCUCUUAGACAGAAGCCAGGAACCACACGUUGUUUUGAGCAAACUGCACAAUAUUUAAAUCAUCGAUUACAGAUCAUAAUGCACUUUAGGUGUUGUUUUCCAAUAAUUAUAGCAUUUUUAUUUACAAAAAUAAACAAUUAAACAACUAAUUAAACAAUUAAACAACUAACUAAGCAAUUACAUACAUUUCCUAGUACUUUUUUCAUGUAUAGUACUGUGUAAAACAUUUUCCUCUAUAAAGAGGGACCAAGCAAAAUUUACUUAGGUAGAUUGGCUCCCUUUUCCAUGGGCAGCACAAACACUGUAGGCUGUCAUAGGAAAUUUUUCUUUCCAUUGACUGGAAUACACAUAGGUUCAUGCUGCUUCAUAUCACCUGACAACCUUUCGGGUGGAUCUGCAGUCACUUGCUUUUGUGUCCUGCUUGUCCAAUUUGGACAGCAUACUGUAAGCAGUCGAGGCAAGAACACUUUCUUGUCUAGUGGCCAACUUUUGCCACAAAGAAAGUAAAUUCCAGAUGGAGUUUCUUCAGUGCCCAUCAUCUUCUUUGAAGUAGAUUGUUGCUGCCAGGAGCAGACAUGUCUCAUUGUCAUUAAAAAAAAACCCCUUAUGUUAUUAAAACAUCUUAAAUGCUAUAUUCUGUAGCUCUCUGAAGUGUUUGAAGACCACCUGUCUAUCUAAAAUAUAUCUGUUUGGCCUUGACCUAACCUGACUAUAGGUUUUAUUGUAAUCGUUGACUAACUACUAACCUGCAUUUCUUCAUUAUCCUAAAUAGUAUGUAAUAACUUUCAAGGACUAGGAAUUUACAUUAAAUUGUUAAAAGAGCUGUAUAAGUACAAUACUUUGAACAAGAGUAGAGGCGUUUGGACAAUAUGUUCUAACUGAAAUAACCUUAAAUUUGUAUCAAUAUACAAUAAUUCAUAUCAAUGUAAAAUAUUUAAAAGUAGUAGUUGCUUUUUUGGUUUAAAAGUACAUUCAAUAAUCUACCUUUUAAUCCUAUCAUUUCUAUAACAUAUAUACAGUAUAACAAAAAUAACUUCAAAUUUGUGUCAAUAUACAAAAAUCCAAGCCAAUGUAAAAUGUUUAAAACUAGUAGUUGCUUUUUUGGUCUAAAAGUAAAUUUAAUAAUCUACCCUUUUAUCCUAUUUUUAUAUUCCCCCUUUUUCUUUUUAGAACAAGAUCCCUGAAUCUAAUCUCCCUUGUUCAUCUUUUUCCUGACCACUACCCAAAACAACUUGUAACCAACCACCCUAAAUGGUUACAAAUAUCCAUAACCCCCUGAAUGACCAAAAACAGCCUACCCCACCUCUUGGGAAUAUGGGCAUUGUGUUCUUAAAAUUACUUCCGGCUGUUUGGGGGCUAUGGCAUCUGUACGGAACCCUGAAAAAAUUGAGAUGAUUGCCAAGUCCUGGGAGAACUAGCUGUAUCAUUUGUUGUCCUGUCAUGGGAGAGAACAGGGCUUGUCUCAACUCCUGGCUAGAGAAGGCUCUGAGGCUGGACCAUCUCAGCUAGCCACCUUGAAAUUAUGAGAUUGGUUCUCCUUUAAAUUCCUCUGUCUGGAUUUCAAUAUCUCUAUGAUACAUUUUAAAAGUUUUUCUAAGGCCUGUAUCUUGGCACUCAUAUCAACCAACUUUUUUAGUGAUGAACCAAGAAAUACUAAACCAAUAAUAGGAAUUACCAAAUGAUAAUUAACAUUAUGCCAAUCCCAGUUAAGUUGAUGAUCUCAUCAUAAUUGUUCGAUUUUUAAACCAUGCAUUGUGUAAUCAUACAGAGACCUAACUCCCUCCAUAGUAAGAGUGUUUCCCAUUUUUUUUUUUACCAUGGGAAAAAACUCUCUCUCUCUUUUUAAAACUAUUCUUCCCUUUAAGAAUUUCCAGUUGUCACACCAGAUCUUCUGAUGAUGAUGAUGGUGAAGAUGACAGUGAAGUGUGAGGCUGACUGCUGCUGUGCAGAACAGUAGAAGCCCAAGCAAGUGUCAAGGCAGCUACCUAGUGUGGCAGCAGCCCAAGGAGGGAGUCUAGGAAAAGCCCAUAACCCACCGGGAGAGAAGAAGCCAAAGAGUCAGUUGUCUGCAUGGGGGAAUGUGGGAAAGUGGCUAACUCCUAUGGCGUUUGGAGCCCAAGUGCCCAUGGAGUUUGCUGUAGAGAGGUUGGAACAGAAAACUCCCAAACUCGCCCAGAGGCUUGGGGGAAAAAAGAAAGGAAAACCUAGCCAGCAAGAUGGUGACUCCAGUCGGAGCCCCUGCGUGCAGCUUUGGCAUGUGCCAUUGGCUACAAAGCCACAGGCAAAUGGUUUUUUUUUUUUGUGAAUUCAAGCCCCGAAAGUUGGGUGCCAGAUGAAGUGUGAUUCUAAUUAGUCUUAUUAAAUAAAAGCCCAGACUCAGAUAUUAGGGAGAAAGCUGAAAGAUCAGAAAAGCAGAGCAGCAGCCAAAGAGACUUAUUACCUUUACAAAAUCUCAGACCGAUUGGGGGGGCUGAAAUCUCCACCUGUCUUAUAUUUCUGUCUCUAUCUCCAUAGUGCUGAGAUUAAAGGUGUGCACCACCUCCACUCAUUUCUGUUUCUCCUUUAGACUGGUUCAAUCUUAUGUAGCCCAGGGUGGCCUUGAACUCCUGAUCUUUCUGCUUCCUGCUCCCAAGUGCUGGGAUUAAAGGUGUGUGCUAAUCCACUGCCUGGCCCUAUGGUUAAUUAGUGGCUAUCUUCACCCUCUGGUCUCUAGGCAAGCUUUAUUUGUCAGAACACAAACAAAAUAUCACACAACAGAUUACUUCCAAGAUAGUAGUGCUACUAUUGCAUCAUUGGGAAUUGUGGUGGUUUGAAAAAAAUGGCCCUCAUGGGUUCAUAGGGAGUGGCAUUAUCAGGAGGUGUGACCUUUAUGGAGUAGGUGUGGCUUUGUUGGAGGAAGUGAGUCACUGGGCAGGCUGUGAGGUCUCAGAAACUCAAACCAGGCAUAGUGGCUCACAGUUCACUUCCUGCUGCCUGUUGAUCCAGAUGUAGAACUCUCAGGUACCUCUCCAGCACCAUGUCUGCCUGCAUACUCCCAUGCUUCCUGCCAUGUCAAUAAUGGACUAAACCUCUGAACUGUAAGCCAGCCCCAAUGAAAUGUUUUUCUUUAUUAGAGUUGCCAUGGUCAUGGCAUCUCUUGACAAUAGUAAAACCAUAACUAAGACAGCGAUAUUUUGCUGGGCCAGCCAUUGUUAUGAAAGGUGAAAAACAAGGCAGUGGGUGGAGACUGGGGAAAGGGAAAGGGUGCAAAUAAAUAUCACAUUAAUGAUGUUUCACAAAGCCAUAGGGAAACAUGCUUACAAAUUUACCUAAAAGUACACAUGCAUUAUAUAUAAAGGUACUGUAUGUACACACACACACACACACACACACACACACACACACACACACACACACAGUUUAAAUAUAGUUACAUUACUUGGGGUAACUUCAGGAGCAAAAAAAUCUGAGUGUUAGGCCUGGGAAACGUCUUUGAAGUUUUUUGAUCAAGGAGGCUGGUGUCUAAGCAACUCCCCAAACAGUAUAGGCUAUUGCCAUUUUCCUUGCUUGCCCUCCAGAACUUGAAGGUCGACCCUCUUGCUGAAGACAACACAUACUUUGGACAUAGGUCUUACGGGAAUCAAGCUGGAGCUGGCCUGAAAGUAUUUUCCUCAAGGACUAGCUCUCCAUACCAGAAGGUGCUAUACAGGCUGCCAACAGAGAAAAGUACAAGUAUGCAAUUUUAAUCUUUAACAAAUAUAUGAAAAAUCAGAGAUAAUAGUUACAGACUCCCAAAUACAUUAAUAUAACUGAAGUGUUCUGUAUGAUAGUUAAUAAUAUAGAAGGCAGUCAGAUAGAUAGCAUCUGUCAUCUGUAAAAUUUGGAGAUUCUCACUAAAGAACUGUUCUUUUUGAAUUGCCUUUACAAAGGCAUUUAAAAUAAUUGAACAAAAAUCUGACAAAUAGCAACAUUUAGAUGCAUCUGCCAUAAAAAUUAUACAACAUAUACACAUAUUAGCCUAUGUAUGUACAUGUGUGAGUAUGUUGUAGAGAGACAAUACGUAGUGUUUUUAACACCUUCAAUGUAAUUCACCACAUAUAAUCUCACUGUGACUCCAGAUGUGUUGUCUUACUCCAUGCUGUGUCCAUUAGUCCUUUUCAGUGAGUCCACACAAUAAAGAAGUUUUUAGUGGCAGGGCAGGUUGGAGUGAGGAUAAGACAAACAUGAACACUGUAGUACAAAUAUCUCCAUAAACUCAAACAGGUCAGCAUUAGCUACAGAUGGACUCCACCUUACAGCACUGUGUGUUCCCAUUUUAUUGAAGUUCUCAGAAGCUCACUGCACCAUUCAGUGAGGUUUUUGUGGGCUAGUAACAGUACUCAGGACUUUUACAAAUCAUUCCUUUUCAUUUUUUAAUGGAGACUUCAUAUUCUCCAGUAAAAUAAAGAUCAGGGUUUUCACAGAUCCAAAUACCUUUCUAUGCAAUUCUUCUUUCCAAAUGUGGGAAAUGCAAUGAUGGUUCUUUUGAGAUGCUACAGUCCUAACCUUGGGAACUGCUCCAUGCUCCAUUUCAUGGUUGAAAGGACAUUGCCAAUGUGCUGAAGAUUGUGAUAUGGAGAUUAUUAUCUUGGGUUCUUCAGAUGGGACCAAAGGAAUCACAAAGGUUGAAGAGGGAGGAGGAGGGCCAGAGUCACAGAAGACACUGUGACAUUGGAAGCAGUGGAGGGAGACAGAGGUGUGAGAGUUGAAGCAUGACAUGAUGGAAGACUCUGCAUUGCUGCCUUGUAGAGAGAAGACAGAAGCCUCAAAGCAAGGGAUUCAGGAAUUGCUGGGGGAAAGAAAAAAUAUUCAGAGGAAGCAUAGGCCGGUCAACACCUUCGUUUGAGCCCAUUGAAACAAACUUUGAAGUUCUGACUCCCAGAACAGAUGUUGUUUUAAGGGACUGCAUGUGUUUCAGAAGUCACAGCAAAUCAACAGAACAGAUGUCCUGACAAUUUCUGCUUUAAACAUAAGUGGAUGAUACUGAUUGCAUAGGUGUCACGCUUCUGAGUGCUUGUUACUGUCCCUGUACUCUUGUGGUUUCUCUACUACACCUUUGCCUUCUUAGCUUUGGAAACCUUUAAACAUCUCACGCUUGCCUACCUUUUCUCAGACCAGCUCCAGUCAAAGAACUGUGGUCAUGUUGUUAAUACAGACUUCAAAUCCAUUCCAGGAUCCCAUUUCAUUUACGGUUAUCUAUGAAAUUCUUACCUGAAAUUGAAAAGGUGAAACCAAGUUUGAAAAGAAUUGGUGAAUUCUCAUAUCUUUAAAGUCUCCAAACUUCUGGUUGUGGAGUCUUUCAUAUCUAAUAUUUCAGGAAGACUAGGAAAGCAUGUGCUGUAUCUCCCCUCCACUCCCCUCACCUAGUCUCCCUCCCCUCCCUCUCUUUUCUUCCCCCUUUACUUUCCUUCUCUUUCUUUUUAAUUUUCCCCUCUGGAUGUUGAAACUGAGAUAUCAAUCUCAAAGUAUGUUGAAAGCAGGAAGAUGUGUUAAUUUUUUGGCAGUUCACAUCUGAUAUUCUGUGUUUGGAGAAUGUCCCAUGUGGUGAGUCCUAUUACAUUCUAAGCCCUGUGCUAGGCCUGCUUUGGGAAACCUCCUUCUGGUCAAAGAGAUGCAAUUAUUCUGUGUGAAAGUAUGCUGAUGCUGCCAGUGACCUCGUGGACAGGUUGGACAGUGAAGAAGGAGAAGUUCCAAAAACUAUGGAUUAGAUAAAGAGGUCUGUGACUGAAGACAUUUCUUGAGUCUUGCCUUGAAAGAUGUUUGUGUGAAGGUAACCUAAAGUUGCAUUAUGGUCGAGGUGGUUAAUUCAACAAAAUAUAUAAAACGGUUUCAAAUGGCAUGAUCCAGUGACUAUACUGUUGUCAACUCUAUACAGUAAAGAUUAAUGUCUCUUUUGCUGGGAAUGAUGGCAAAUACUUGUAAUCCCAGUACUUGGGAGACUGAAACAGGACAGCCAUGAAUUCAAGACUAGCUUAGACUACAUAGCAAGACUCUUGCAAAACAAAACAAAAUAAUGAAACCAAUCAACCAAACUACAACAACAAUAAAAAACCCACAACUACACACCACACACAAAACGCACAAAACUAUGAUGAUGAUGAUGAUGAUGAUGAUGGUGAUGAUGAUGAUGAAAAAGCUGAAUGUAACAUAUCCUCAGAUGUUUUCAUUGGGUUUUAUGCAGCUUCUUCUGCAGAAUUGUCUUGAGCUGUUUCCUGACUAUUUCAGGAUGCUUUUCUGAACAUCUUGGACCUAAGCUCUCUUCUUAAAAUGGUAUUUCCUUCCUUGAUAACCCAGAAUAUCCCUACACAUCUGAUACUCAAUACCACUGAGCUAAUUUUCCUAGGUUAACUGAGGCUCCUGGGCUCUUGGGGUCUUAGAACUAAUGUACAUUGUAGAUUUGUGUGCUGUGCUCUAACCCAGUAGUGUUUUAUUUGUUUGCUGUAACAUUUACAGACAAUUCCACACAUCAUAAUACUUUAGCCUCAAGUGAUUCAGUGCUGAUAGAUAAAGACUUAAAAGUAGUGCCAUUACCUCAUUUCAUAAACUAGCAAAUACCUUUAACACGGUCUGUUAUGCAGAGCAUAUUCAGUUCCCCAGACAUGGACUUGACUUACUCCACCAUCUAGUUCUGUUCUGGAGUUUUUUUUUUCCCUUCUGAGACAGGCUUUCUCUGUGUAGCUUUGGAGCCUAUCCUGAAAAUCACUUUGUAGACCAGGCUGGCCUUGAACUCACAGAGAUCCACCUACCUCUGCCUCCCAAGUGCUGGGAUUAAAGGCAUGUGCUACUACUGCCUGGCUAUUCUGGAGCUUUUAGGGGAACAAUGCACUUUAUUGUUGGAAUCCUUUAAUGUAAUUACUAUAGUUAUAGAGGUUGCAGACUCUGAUGAGCUGUUUUACAUAGCACAACAAAGACACAUUUUAAAACAAAGGGAAGAGUGUCUAUGUAAGUCCACCUCUCUCUUGCUAUAACACGUACUAGAGUCUAAGGACCUUCUUCAGGUUUUGGAUCCCGAAGACAUAUCUGCCUGGCUACUGGCAGACCCCCUUCCAUUACAAUGUGGCAGAGAAGCAGCUCUCUGUACAAUGACAUGAUCUGUUGAGAACUACAUUAAUCCCUACCAAAGGCCAUGCUUCCAUGAAUGACCUAAUUGCCCUGAACUGGGUUCCACCCUCUAAAGGCUGUCUGUCACAUCCUCAGUAAAGACCACCUCUAAAGUGUAGCAGCAAAGAAUAAGAUUUCAUCCUUGAGCACAGUAUAGUCUUGGAUUUUUUAAAUGAUGCAUUAUCUUGAGUCCUACCUUCUGGGGGAAAUAUCCAUCUUACACAUUAGUGGUCCCUGAAAGAUAAUCAAACAUCAAUUGCUGAUGUAUUAUCUUCCUGUGAGGUAGAAGCAAGAUUCUCCUAGUGGUUCUAUGUCUUGAGGGACACACACCACAGUCUAAUGAUUAAACCUAAUGAAUUUAAAAUGAAACAACUCUCACAAAGCUAGAAUAUAUUUUCCACUUUUAGUGUUUCUGUGAGAAUAACCUUAAUUAGUAUGACAUUCUUGACAUCUCUUAAUCCUCUGCUUACUGUGCCCUAGGGAAAGCACAAUAACUUGGCCAAUUGGUAAAUUUUAGAAGACUUAGCUGUGAUUGAUGAAUUAAUUGCUUUCUUUUUGAAGCUGGCUUCCCAAAGGGAGGGAGAAGGUUUUGUCUUUUCUAUGAUACAAGAAUAGUCUGGACAGGUGUCCACCACAGCCAAACACUGCCUAUGACAGCAUGGGUAAGUCUUUCCAAUUCUGGGGGGUCAAUCUGUAGUUGCUUUUGACUUUCUUUUUAUUUAUUUAUUUUUUAUCAUUAAGAAUUUUUUCAUUCAUUUUACACACCAAAGAUCCCCCUCCUCACUCCUCCUGUCCCCCCACUGCCAGCAUCCUCCUUCCAACCCACCCUCCACUCCCCUGACAAGAAGGCAAGGCCUCCCAUGGGGAGACACAUCCAGUCGAGGCAAGUCCCAACCCUUUCCCCUGCCUCAAGGCUGCACAAGGUGUUCCAUCAUAGGUAGUGGGAUCCAAAAAGCCCACUCAUGUGCCAGGGAUGUAUUCUGAUCCUACCGCCAGGGGGCCUCCCAAGCAGAUCAAGCUACACAACUGCCUUGCCAUGCAGAGGGCCUAGUCCAGUCCCAUACAGGCUCCACAGCCGUUGAUCCAACUUUCAUGAGUUCCCACUAGUUUGGUUUGGUCAUCUCUGCAGGUUUCCCCAUCAUGAUCCUGAUGCACUUGCUCAUAGAAUCCCUCUUCUCUCUCUUCGACUGGACUCCUGGAGCUCUGACUGGUGUUUGGCUGUGAAUCUCUGCAUCUGCUUCCAUCAGUCACUGGAGAAAAGCUCUGUAAAGUCACCCAGGAGGAAUAGAUGCCAGGAAAUAAUCGAAUUGAGAGCUGAAAUCAAUAAAAUAGAAACAAAGAGAACAAUACAAAGAAUCAAUGAAACAAAGAAUUGGUUCUUUGAGAAAAUCAACAAGAUAGACAAGCCCUUAUCCAAACUAACCAAAAGGCAGAGAGAGAGAGAGAGCAUCCAAAUUAACAAAAUCAGAAAUGAAAAGGGAGACAUAACAACAGACAACGAGGAAAUCCAGAGAAUUAUCAGGUCAUACUUCAAAUACCUGUACUCCUUUGGACUUUCAUUGUAACUAUGGAUCUUAAUAUGACCUUUCUCAGAAAAGAGAUAACACUUUGGUGUUUUUAUGUUUUAUUCCUAGUUUUAUUUCUCACUUUUUUUCUAGAACCCCAUGAAGAUAAAGGAUACCAUAAUGAGGGAGAGGAAUUGUCCCUUCAAAGAGAGAAGCAGAGAGCUAUUUUAACAUGUUUUAUUUACUAAUAUUUGACAUAGAAUUUUUGAGCUCAUAUGCUGAAAAAGGAUAAAUUUGUAUUUUUUAUUUAGGAAUUGAGGGUUUUAUGCAGAUUUCACCAAUAUACUAGAUUCAUCAAAAGAAUUCAGAUGUUUUCCUUUUUUCUAUGUUCUGGAGAAAUUUAAAUAAUGUUGGAAUUAUCUGUAGUUUGUAUUUGCUUAAAAAUUACCCAUUUACCUCAACUUCUUUCAUUUGUUUGCUUAUAGCUGAAGAAAGAAGACACCUGGGAAUCUUUAAAGUUCCUCUCUAUUGUCGUUAUUUCCUUCUCAUUUCCAAGUUUUGUGCUUUUUUUUGUACUUAUUCACAUGACCCAGGGAAUCAGUGCUUAUGCAUUUUAAUUUUAGUUCAGUAGAAUAGGCUUGUAUUUAGAUAUUAGUGGUGUAUUCAUCUCUUUUUAAAAUUAUUUAUUGAAUGCGGUUUUGUUUACCAUGGUUUUCUUCUGGCUUUGUUGGGACUCUGUAACUUGACUCUUAUAAAUACAUUUCAGCUAUGAAUGUUUCUAUGCUUAGUCUUAGGUUUCUGAUGUUACUAUAAAUAAGCAGUUGCUUGUUUGGCAAGCAGAGUUUUCUAGUUAAGUGAUCAUUGUCUUGUGAAUGAGACAAAUGAGGAAUCUGUUCUUUGUGUAAGUAUCUUUUUAAAAAGUCUCUCUCUUUCUUCCUCCGUUUUUCCCUCCCUCCUUCUCCUUUCUCCCCCUCUGUGUCUUUCUUUCACAUACACACAUUUAAACACACAGACACACAGACAGACAGACAGAUGGACACACACACACACACACACACACACACACACACACACACACGGUCUCACUAUGUAACCCUGGUUGGCCUGGAACUUACUGUGUAGAUAAAGGCUGACCUUGAAUUUACAGAGCUCUGCCUGCCUCUGCUUCCAGAGUGCUGGGAUUAAAGAUGUGUGCCAUUCAGUCUUUAGAAAGUCUCUUUAGCAAUAAAUUUAUUUCCAAUUUUCUGUCCUCCCCAGUGAAGGGAUGUAUUUUGUUCAUCAUUGACAUUGUUUAAUCACAGGCUUACUUUGGAGUGGAAUGUUGAUAUAUAGUUUAUUUCGGGAUUUCAUCAUUGUGGGAGUUCUGAGAUUCUUUUGCUCUGCCCUACAAUCUUCCUGUUCCCGAUUGGGGUUCUUUGUCCUGGGUCACAAAGGAAGAUGUAAAGGGAAGAUGUGACCAACCAGUGAUGUGUAAUGUAGCAAGAAAUAAAUCUUCAUUGUUGUAAACUACUAAGAAUCAGGAGUUUCUAGUGCAGCAAAUGUUAGCAAAACUGUUAUGUAGCACCUUUUGAAUGUAUAG